AAGGCCUUUUGAGUAAGAACCAUCGGCAGCAGAAUGGGAAAGACAUAGGAGGCAAAAGAGAACAGACUGUGACACAGGAACUAUUCAGCCUGGCUUAUACAGGUGGGAACAGGAGAGGAGGUGGGCAGGAACCUAGCAGUUAAAGACACCUUGGCCACCCAGAUGUGUUUGAACUGCUUCCUAGAGAGACACUGAACAUUCUGUAGUUGGGAAGUAGUUUCUAGAAUGAAUUCUUUUCAAAACAGCUUGCUGUCCUUAUAACCUAGUGUUUGAGGGUGCCUUGGGUUAAAUCUCCAACUGCAGCGGGAGGGCUAGGGAGAGCAGCAAGCGGAUAUUUUUCCUUCUGUAACUCUCCUCAUCUGACUCACCUCAAAACAGGGUGCCAGAGGGAUGCGCUGCUGAAGACGAUUUGCCCUCUAUCCAAGAAUGAAACCUUCUUAGAUGUUGUUUAGGUCUGCUAACAACAGCGAGGAAGGAGGGGCCAGAACCUUAAAGGGGUGUGUUAAUGUCUGUCCCCACCCACUGCUGUGCCAGCUGAUGCCAUUUAUAGACACUUAAUGGGCCUCGAAAAGCUCACCCUGGUCAAGGUCUAACAUCCAUCUCUCACAGGCUCUGCUGAAAAGAAUUCAGCUACCUGAGUCUGGGAAUAGGGGUGGAACAUGGUCCCAGCAAUGAUCACAGAAAGUUUGGCACUGUUUGGUCCCCAGUGGACAUGGAGAAAACAUGGGUGGCAUGUUCUACCUCCUGUUAGAAGCAAUGGCCCCACUCCAUGCUCCCUUACUCACUCUUGCCUUCAUAUGACGUUAUACAGAGCGCAAAGCCCCUCACUGCCACACUGGAACCAAGACGAAACUCAGGAGACAGCCACACAGCACAGAAUUGAGAACCCUCGAGUGGUUCUCAGCAAGAUGCAACAGAGCACUAUUCUGUCUUUAUUGCUAUUAAAUAAGACAUGUGAGAUGUAGAAAAGUUGACCGACUUGCC
rnacentral:lncRNA from 1 species